rnacentral:tRNA from 1 species
GCGAAUGUAGCUCAGCAGGUUAGAGCACCAGAUUGUGGAUCUGGGGGUCGAGGGUUCAAAUCCCUCCAUUCGCCCCA